GACGAACGCUGGCGGCGUGCUUAAUACAUGCAAGUCGAACGGUAAGGCCCCAGCUUUCUGGCGUACACGAGUGGCGAACGGGUGUGUAUCACGCGUGUGACCUCCCCCGCACUUCGGGGUAAGCCUUGGAAACUCGGUCUAUUAUCGGAUAUGACCGCUUCGUGCGGAUGUUUUGGUAAUGAUGUCGGUGUUGGCUGGGCCCGCUGCCUAUCAGCUUGUUGGUGGGGUAAUUGCCUACCAAGGCGGCGACGGGUAGCCGGCCUGAGAGGGUGGACGGCCACAAUGGGACUGAGGAAGGGGCCAGAAGGCAACGGGAGGCAGCGGUGGAAAAUAUUACGCAAUAGGCGGAAGCCUGAUGCAGAGACGCCGGGUGGGGGAUGACGGCUUUCGGGUUAUAAACUCCUUUCAACAUCGACGAACAUUUUCUGACGGUAGAUGGAGAAGAAGCACCGGCUAACUACGUG
rnacentral:rRNA from 1 species